rnacentral:lncRNA from 1 species
UUCGUUGUAACUUUCUUCUAUAUUACAAUUUGAUCCGUACAUUUGUGGCCAUCGAUGUUCAACCUUUUAUCUAUUUUGCUAUAGUAUUUCCAGUCCAGACAUUCACACGACUGGCGGCAAUCAACAUUGAAAUUCAAGAGUCUGCGAAUGACAAGAAAUAGAAGAGGAUGGGGUUCUAUGGCUCUCUUAAUUUUAGAAGUCGAGUUGAUUCAUGGAAUCUCUUACAAGGCUUGGGUCAGGACCAGAGUCCGCCUUGGU